UAUAGAAACACAGUUUCCCGUACAAUCAUUGAAAUUAAGCGACGUCGAGCCUGGUCAGUACAUAGAUGGGUGACGGCUUGGUAAUACCAGGUGCUGUAAG